rnacentral:rRNA from 1 species
UUCUAGGGUCACACCACCCUGAACAUGCUCCAACAUGCCAGAUCGUGUCUGAUCCCAGAAGCUAAGCAAGGUUGAGCCUGGUUAGUACUUAUAUGGGAGAUCGCCUGGGAAUACCAGGUGCUGUAGGCU